GAUGAACGCUGGCGGCGUGCCUAAUACAUGCAAGUCGAGCGAACAGACGAGGAGCUUGCUCCUCUGACGUUAGCGGCGGACGGGUGAGUAACACGUGGAUAACCUACCUAUAAGACUGGGAUAACUUCGGGAAACCGGAGCUAAUACCGGAUAAUAUAUUGAACCGCAUGGUUCAAUAGUGAAAGACGGUUUUGCUGUCACUUAUAGAUGGAUCCGCGCCGCAUUAGCUAGUUGGUAAGGUAACGGCUUACCAAGGCAACGAUGCGUAGCCGACCUGAGAGGGUGAUCGGCCACACUGGAACUGAGACACGGUCCAGACUCCUACGGGAGGCAGCAGUAGGGAAUCUUCCGCAAUGGGCGAAAGCCUGACGGGGCAACGCCACGUGAGUGAUGAAGGUCUUCGGAUCGUAAAACUCUGUUAUUAGGGAAGAACAAAUGUGUAAGUAACUAUGCACGUCUUGACGGUACCUAAUCAGAAAGCCACGGCUAACUACGUG
rnacentral:rRNA from 1 species